CGGCGCGGCGACAGCACGUUAAAUGUAGUUCCCAAUGGAUCACUGAAGUUAAGCAACGUUGAGCUUGGUUGGUAUCCGGAUGGGUGACCACAAGGGCAAUCAUGUACUGAUUUUU
rnacentral:rRNA from 1 species